UCAUGGAUGAAGGGGAGUGGGUUUGCUAAGAGAAGAGCAUUCUUCGUGCAGCUCUGCACGCCUCACAAAGCAAAGACACCCUUACAUUGGGGCGAAUGCACAAAGGCAGAAUUCUUCUCCUACAACACAAGCUUGCUUACUGCUGAGGAAAGAAUGACGGUUUGUCACACAUGAGAAAGUAGGGAGCGAUGCCUUUUCGCAGAGGAGCCGGGGCUGGGAGCUAAUAUUGGGAAAGUGGGCCAGGCAUUUGAAGGUCACUGUCCUGUUGACGGCUCAACACAGGGAAAGGCCUAGAAUCUGGGAAUGUGAAUACGUAGGCACUCAGAGUUCCAGACUUGGCAAAAAUUGGGGGGUCUAAGUUGGGUGUCAAAUGACCUCUUUCUGAAAGAAUGUAUCUGGAUUUGCUCUCAGAUAAGAUGGUGGUAAGGUAGACACUUGGGUAAAAGAACAAGCCCAUUUGAGUACAAAGGGAAGGCUUAUUCCUAAGAACAGUAUAUCUCUCUGGCUCCUUGCUGGGAUGUUUGAAAAAAGGAGUCCCCUGGUUAGUACACAGUGUACACUCAGUUGAGUGUUCAUUGAAUGAAUGCAUGAAGUAUAAGGUUGUCACCCAGUUUCUGAAUAUAGGGCAGGUGGUGACAGUAGUUCUUUAAGAGGUAAUGACUUGAUGCUGAGUCAUCUGAAAGGUGACUAAGGACACAGUUAUUCCCAAGCCUGGGGUGAAGCUGAGCCUGCCGUUGGCUCAAGUAGGGGAAAUUAGGGGGAUAGAGAAUAAUCUAGAGGAUAGUUCCUCAUCCAUUCCUUAGCAGCUCUCUGUUAUAACUCGUUUUGGAUCAGUCACUCUGAGAGUGCUUACUACCUUCUCUAGCUUUCAUGGAACCAAAAUGAGCCUCCAGUCAAGGAUGCCACGCAUGGCUCACAUGAGCGUAGGUCACAGUUGCAGGAGCUCCCAUUCAGCUGGGAUCUAUUUAUUACAAUUAUAUGGGUGACAUCAUCAAGUCUAAUAUACUUAAGACCUUUAUUCCUCCCAGGGGUCUCUAAAGGAAGAUGUUACUGGAUCUAUAUCCCCUCAAGAUUAAGUUGUCCAAGGCUCCGACCUCCUUGAGAUGGAUCUCUCCACAGAUGCAGGCUUUACCAUGCAGAUGAGCAGCCUGCCGUAGCAUGGAUUCUGGUUCAGAUUUUGAGCUAAGACCUGAGACUUGGGCUAGCUUUAAGCUCCUAGGUGAGGCCGAUGCUGCUGGUUCCUGAUACACACAUGAGUAACAGGAGUCUACAGCCAGCUAAAGCUGGCUUUACAAUCCUAAUUCUCCUGCUGCCACUCCCACCACCAUGCUGGAAUUACAGAUGCAUUCUGCCAUGUGUGGCUCCUAACAGCGAAAUACUUAAUACAGGAGCAUCAGCCUUUGUUUUGUGAUUAUGGAUGUGUUCUGACCAACCUACUCAGACUUCCAUUGUCAAGCCUUCACCAU
rnacentral:sRNA from 1 species